rnacentral:lncRNA from 1 species
AGUUCCCUUCCUGCGGCGUCCUCCACACCCGGGGUCUGCUGGUCUCCGCGGAUGUCACAGGCUCGGCAACCGCCCUCCUGUCGGCGGGGAGUCCCGCGACGCCCGGAAAUGCUCCGAAGCCUGUCGCCCAGCUGCCAGAUCUGCGUCUGUGUCCGGUUCCGUCACUGAGAUUUGUCUUCUUAGUGCUUGGAUGGUGUGAGUGAAAACCCAGAGGAAUACAUUUGGUGGCUGAGCUAGUACAAUGCCAUCACCGACUUCACUCAAGAAGAGUGGGCCCUGCUGGACACAUCCCAGAGAAAGCUGUUUCAAGAUGUGAUGUUGGAGAACAUCAGUCAUCUGGUCUCUAUUGGCAAACAGCUCUGCAAAUCAGUUGUGCUUUCCCAAUUGGAGCAAGUAGAGAAACUUUCAACACAAAGAAUAAGCUUACUGCAAGGUAGAGAAGUUGGCAUUAAACAUCAAGAGAUACCAUUCAUUCAACAUAUCUAUCAGAAGGGCACGUCCACCAUCAGCACAAUG